rnacentral:rRNA from 1 species
CGCGUAGGUGGUAGUGUAAGUCUGGGGUGGAAUCCCAGGGCUCAACCCUGGAACUGCCUUGGAAACUGCAUUACUUGAGUCAGUGAGGGGAGGGUAGAAUUCCUGGUGUAGCGGUGAAAUGCGUAGAUAUCAGGAGGAAGGCCUGUGGCGAAGGCGGCCCUCUGGCGCUGGACUGACACUGAGGCGCGAAAGCGUGGGGAGCAAACAGGAUUAGAUACCCUGGUAGUCCACGCCCUAAACGGUGGGCACUAGGUGUAGGGCUCGUAAGGGUUCUGUGCCGAAGGGAAACCAUUAAGUGCCCGCCUGGGGAGUACGGCCGCAAGGUUGAA